rnacentral:tRNA from 1 species
AGUUCGGAGGUGUAUAACACGUCAAAUUGCAAAUUUGAAGAGGGCUUUAAGCUUCGGACUU